CCAGAGCCUCAUGUGGUGCCGUAUUAAGUUCGAGUGAGAAUAGGGCGGAAGAUACGAGAACCUCUGCCAACCGGGGUAGAGUCUGAACGAAUUUGUCUGAAAAACACAAGUUUUGUUGGUAUUUUUCAGAUAGUUGAAUCCCGCUCAAUACACAGGCACAGCUUUCUUGGUGUUAUUGUCACUACCUAGUCCUAGACUUGCCACAAGUCCGCCUCAGAAUUUUUCAAUAACAGAUAAUUCAUUUAUUACAUGCUUGAUCUCACACCUGGUUGCUGACAUCUCACAGUGUUAAUUGAUAAUGACAGUUCUAGCUACCCACUUCCUAAGAAACUAUAACUGAAAUUGAUGAAUUUUAUCAUAUCACAGUUGGACAUGCUCGUCAUUAUAAUAACACUCAUAUCAUGACAGUACUGCAUGUAUCAAACAACAAUUAAAAUGAAACAACAUAUUUAGUUAACUUUGAAAAUUGAAAGUGAUAAUUCGUAAGCAUAUGUUCCAACGAAUAUAGCCAUACGGUCUUCAGGUUAAAGGUGUGUUAGGCCCGUUUUGUACGUCGAAUUUUGGUCGCGUCCAUAAUGAGAUGAUAAACCCAUAGAUAUCUUAUAUACAC